UCUCCGUUGGUGAACCAGCGGAGGGAUCAUUACCGAGUUUACAACUCCCAAACCCCAUGUGAACGUUACCAAACUGUUGCCUCGGCGGGGUCACGCCCCGGGUGCGUCGCAGCCCCGGAGCCAGGCGCCCGCCGGAGGAACCAACCAAACUCUUUCUGUAGUCCCCUAGCGGACGUUAUUUCUUACAGCUCUGAGCAAAAAUUCAAAAUGAAUCAAAACUUUCAACAACGGAUCUCUUGGUUCUG
rnacentral:misc_RNA from 1 species